rnacentral:rRNA from 1 species
AACGAACGCUGGCGGCAUGCCUAACACGUGCAAGUCGAACGAGACCUUCGGGUCUAGUGGCGCACGGGUGCGUAACGCGUGGGAACCUGCCCUUAGGUUCGGAAUAACUCCCCGAAAGGGGUGCUAAUACCGGAUAAUGUCUUCGGACCAAAGAUUUAUCGCCUUUGGAUGGGCCCGCGUUGGAUUAGCUAGUUGGUAGGGUAAAAGCCUACCAAGGCGACGAUCCAUAGCUGGUCUGAGUGGAUGAUCAGCCACACUGGGACUGAGACACGGCCCAGACUCCUACGGGAGGCAGCAGUGGGGAAUAUUGGACAAUGGGCGAAAGCCUGAUCCAGCAAUGCCGCGUGAGUGAUGAAGGCCUUAGGGUUGUAAAGCUCUUUUACCCGGGAUGAUAAUGACAGUACCGGGAGAAUAAGCUCCGGCUAACUCCGUG